UACGUAGGGGGCAAGCGUUGUCCGGAAUCAUUGGGCGUAAAGAGCGUGUAGGCGGCCCGAUAAGUCCGCUGUGAAAGUCCAGGGCUCAACCCUGGAAUGCCGGUGGAUACUGUCGGGCUUGAGUACGGGAGAGGCGAGUGGAAUUCCUGGUGUAGCGGUGAAAUGCGCAGAUAUCAGGAGGAACACCGAUUGCGAAGGCAGCUCGCUGGAACGUUACUGACGCUGAGACGCGAAAGCGUGGGGAGCAAACAGG
rnacentral:rRNA from 1 species